rnacentral:rRNA from 1 species
CUACGAGCCAGCAGCCGCGGUAAUACGGAAGGUCCGGGCGUUAUCCGGAUUUAUUGGGUUUAAAGGGAGCGUAGGCCGGAGAUUAAGUGUGUUGUGAAAUGUAGACGCUCAACGUCUGACUUGCAGCGCAUACUGGUUUCCUUGAGUACGCACAACGUUGGCGGAAUUCGUCGUGUAGCGGUGAAAUGCUUAGAUAUGACGAAGAACUCCGAUUGCGAAGGCAGCUGACGGGAGCGCAACUGACGCUUAAGCUCGAAGGUGCGGGUAUCGAACAGGAUUAGAUACCCUGGUAGUCCGCACAGUAAACGAUGGAUGCUCGCUGUUGGUACCUGGUAUCAGCGGCUAAGCGAAAGCAUUAAGCAUCCCACCUGGGGAGUACGCCGGCAACGGUGAAACUCAAAGGAAUUGACGGGGGCCCGCACAAGCGGAGGAACAUGUGGUUUAAUUCGAUGAUACGCGAGGAACCUUACCCGGGCUUGAA